rnacentral:rRNA from 1 species
UGCAGUCGAGGGGUAGAGGAAGCUUGCUUCCUUGAGACCGGCGCACGGGUGCGUAACGCGUAUGCAAUCUACCUUGUACAGGGGGAUAGCCCAGAGAAAUUUGGAUUAAUACCCCAUAGUAUUAUUGAAUGGCAUCAUUUGAUUAUUAAAGUUCCAACGGUACAAGAUGAGCAUGCGUCCCAUUAGCUAGUUGGUGUGGUAACGGCACACCAAGGCGACGAUGGGUAGGGGUCCUGAGAGGGAGAUCCCCCACACUGGUACUGAGACACGGACCAGACUCCUACGGGAGGCAGCAGUGAGGAAUAUUGGUCAAUGGGCGCAAGCCUGAACCAGCCAUGCCGCGUGCAGGAUGACGGUCCUAUGGAUUGUAAACUGCUUUUGUACAGGAAGAAACACUCCCUCGUGAGGGAGCUUGACGGUACUGUAAGAAUAAGGAUCGGCUAACUCCGUGCCAGCAGCCGCGGUAAUACGGAGGAUCCAAGCGUUAUCCGGAAUCAUUGGGUUUAAAGGGUCCGUAGGCGGUUUUAUAAGUCAGUGGUGAAAUCUGGUCGCUCAACGAUCAAACGGCCAUUGAUACUGUAGAACUUGAAUUACUUGGAAGUAACUAGAAUAUGUAGUGUAGCGGUGAAAUGCUUAGAGAUUACAUGGAAUACCAAUUGCGAAGGCAGGUUACUACGAGUUAAUUGACGCUGAUGGACGAAAGCGUGGGGAGCGAACAGGAUUAGAUACCCUGGUAGUCCACGCCGUAAACGAUGGAUACUAGCUGUUUGGAGU